rnacentral:rRNA from 1 species
GAGCCUGAGAAACGGCUACCACAUCCAAGGAUGGCAGCAGGCGCGCAAAUUACCCAAUCCCGACACGGGGAGGUAGUGACAAUAAAUAACAAUACGGGGUUCUUUAGGAUCUCGUAAUUGGAAUGAGUACAAUUUAAAUCUCUUAACGAGGAACAAUUGGAGGGCAAGUCUGGUGCCAGCAGCCGCGGUAAUUCCAGCUCCAAUAGCGUAUANNNAAGUUGUUGCAGUUAAAAAGCUCGUAGUUGAAUUUCGGGGUUAGUAGGUUGGUCAUGCCUCUGGUAUGUACUGGUCUCACUGAUUCCUCCUUCCUUAUGAACCGUAAUGCCAUUAAUUUGGUGUUGCGGGGAAUUUGGACUGUUACUUUGAAAAAAUUAGAGUGUUUAAAGCAAGCUAACGCUUGAAUACAUUAGCAUGGAAUAAUGAAAUAGGACGUUCGAUCUUAUUUUGUUGGUUUCUAGGAUUGACGUAAUGAUUAAUAGGGAUAGUUGGGGGCAUUAGUAUUCAAUUGUCAGAGGUGAAAUUCUUGGAUUUAUUGAAGACUAACUACUGCGAAAGCAUUUGCCAAGGAUGUUUUCAUUAAUCAAGAACGAAAGUUAGGGGAUCGAAGACGAUCAGAUACCGUCGUAGUCUUAACCAUAAACUAUGCCGACUAGGGAUCGGAUGAUGCUAAUUUUUUAAUGACUCAUUCGGCGCCUUACGGGAAC